GUAGGGAAUAUUGGGCAAUGGAUGCAAGUCUGACCCAGCCAUCCCGCGUGCCGGAAGAAGGCCCUCAGGGUUGUAAACGGCUUUUGACGGUGAAGAAUCGACAGGAUGCGUCCUGUUUUGACGGUAGCCGUUGAAUAAGCACCGGCUAACUCCGUGCCAGCAGCCGCGGUAAUACGGAGGGUGCGAGCGUUGUCCGGAUUUAUUGGGUUUAAAGGGUGCGUAGGCUGGAAGGUCAGUCAGCGGUGAAAAGCUGUCGCUUAACGAUAGUCUUGCCGCAGAUACUUCCUUUCUUGGAUGAGGAGGAGGCCACUGGAACGGAUGGUGUAGCGGUGAAAUGCAUAGAUAUCAUCCAGAACACCGAUUGCGAAGGCAGGUGGCUGUACCUUAAUCGACGCUGAUGCACGAAAGCAUGGGGAGCAAACAGGAUUAGGAACCCGGGUAGUCC
rnacentral:rRNA from 1 species